CCCGGCACCCCUCCAGAGACGGACAGUAAUGUCCGCCGCUGGAGGAGCAGGCUCGCAAGGGAGCGGUAUCGGAGGUCUGUUAAAGACCUCCGAUACCGCUCCCUUGUGAUCCGCGCGGCAACAGCUGCUGUGCGCCGGGGUUUGCUGUCAGAUCCCGGCGCACAACACUGAAGCCGCGCCCACCGCUGUCCGUGCCCUCUGACCCGGAAGAAGACAGAAGAACUGAAGAAGAGGAGCGAAGAGAAGGAAAA